AGUGACAGCACUAGAACAUAAUAUACACCAGACCUCUCCAAUCCCAGUCUGAAGCCAGUCCACUGAACCGAGGGGCGAUGAUGUCACCAACGCCUUUCCCUUCUGCUUAAUAAGCUCUACACCCAAAGUGGGGCUUGAACUCAUCACUCUGGGAUCAAAAGUGGCAUGCUGUACUGCGCCAGCGAGGGGCCUGCAAAAUUUUCCCUUUAUCCAGUAGAUGAAUCUGCUCUGGAGCAAGAUAUAAUCAGUUUAUUAUAAAAGAGACAUGGA